UACGGGGGGGGCAAGCGUUGUUCGGGAUUACUGGGCGUAAAGGGCUCGUAGGUGGCCAACUAAGUCAGACGUGAAAUCCCUCGGCUUAACCGGGGAACUGCGUCUGAUACUGGAUGGCUUGAGUUUGGGAGAGGGAUGCGGAAUUCCAGGUGUAGCGGUGAAAUGCGUAGAUAUCUGGAGGAACACCGGUGGCGAAGGCGGCAUCCUGGACCAACACUGACACUGAGGAGCGAAAGCCAGGGGAGCAAACGGG
rnacentral:rRNA from 1 species